AAAGAACAGGAAGCAGAAAUGAAAAGCAGAAGCAGGAGGUCAAGCAGCAGUGCUGGAGUCACAUCAGCAUCAGGGAGCUGGAGGCAUCUGGGCUGCCUGCUUACAGCACACUGAGAAGGCCCUGAUCUUUAUUCCUUGAGUACUACUUUUCCCCAAGUCUUACAGAAACAGUGUUUGAGUGUGUAUCUCUACUAAAGAUAACUCUGGAUCCCAUUCCUCCUAAGCACCAGCAGCUUCUGGGAUAGCUGCUGAUACAUGUGCUAAGUUGAAAUAAUAUUCCUGCUCUAAUAUUCCCUUUUAAGUGGGGACCUGCUGGGACAAAGUGGUGAAUCGUGACUUGUUCAUUACUGUAUGAGACAGCAAGCACCAAAGUUGUACCAACACCUGACAAUCCAGCAGUGCAAGGAUAUCCUCCUUCUCUUUUCCUCAAGUGAACUCCUGAUGGAAACAUAAACUAAGGCUGAAUUCAUUUUGAACCAAGAGAAAGACUUCAAAGGAAGCUUUGACAAAGAGAAAAGCAGGGGGAAGACAGGACCUCCUGCGUUCCUCAUUGCGCUGCACGAUUUCAUGGUAAAGAGGCAGGAAGACAGCAGCGGGCACCGGGUUAGCUCGGAACUGCUUCUGACACUCUGCUUCCUCCUCCAGCUGCUUCUUCAGUUUUCACUGCAAAACUCUCCAACCCGUUUUUCCCCACCAUCGUGACCUAAUGCAACGUGAUCAAGGAAGCGAGUUUAAAAAGCCGUUACAGAAAGGCACCAUCCGCCUCCUCCUGAGCCCAUCGCGUAUAAACCUCCCGGCUUCCUCCUCGAUCCGCAGAGCGAUCCCAGGCUCUUCCCGGAGUUGGGCAUCCCCAGUUCUUAGCUCCGCUCUUCCAACCCGGGGCCGUUCCAAGCUCAUUAAGGGAUUGGUGCUGCACAGGCGGGACCAGCUGUCGGGUGUUUGUGUCUGUCUGUGCCUGCUUGUGCCGCACGCCACUGCCGGGAGGUACAAAAGGCCCCGCUCCAGGGCAGCUCCGCCGGUGCACG